AUUGAUUCACCUAUCUAAGUGGUAACGAAAAUCUGAAAUAUGGAGUUUAGUUUUAUCAGUUUUAAGGUUUUCAUCUUUUGUUUUUUUUUUUUCUUUGAAGCCUGUAUUCGUUGCUGAAAUGCCAUCUAUGUCUGUCCAUUUUGUAAAAUCUGUUGGUGUGAUUUGUCAAAUAACAGACCAUUGGCUUUCAAUGUCAAUCGAGAGCCUGUUUGAGUGAGAAAUUGCUUACCUUGGGGCUGCUCUUUAGCACUCUCCAAAGAGUUAGGUUGGGAUAGAUGAAAGCUCAUAUCAUAGCUUUUAUAUGUCCUAAAAUUUAUUAGAUUACUCUACUUAGAUCUUUGUUUAAAUCCUCUAAGUUAUUUUAUAUCUCCUUGCUUUUUCUUGUUUGUCUUUCGUAUAUGCUAAAUGAAUUGGCUUAAAACUUUGAUUAAGUUGAGUCUAAAGUUGUUUAUCUUUAAACUAUACUUGAAUUUGUUUCGAACUCCUUUUUGGUUUGAUCAAAGGUUGUGUUUAAGUAGGAGUAGGAAACCUCUGUUUAGUUGUUGUCAUAUUUAAGUUGUGGCUGCCUAUUGUUGUUAAGUGCCUCCAUCUUGGACAGGUUAUUUUAUACACUGAUUCUGAAUUGCUUAUGAAAUUAUGUGAUGUUUAAAUAAUUUUGACAUUAUUAUAAAUAUGUUCUCGUGUUUAUUUACUGAUUUUAGGUGCAAAUAUACUAGUCUUUUCUUUACUGUUUGUAGUUAAUCUAACCUCAACUGCCGUAAAUCUUCAAGUGCUACCCUCGAUUGCCCUUAGAUGUUCUUUGCUGUAAUUCUGGUUCAGUAACUCUAGAUAGAGUUCUGCUUGCUUUUGAUAGUUUUUUCUUCAUUGCUGUGUUUGAAUAUGGCAAUUUGUGUCAUGUCUUAAAUUAAUUCAUGUUGACAUCAACUUGUUUCUUUAAGCAGUAAGUCCAUGUUUACUUGAUAUCGUUCUUUUCUCUAAUUUAUAUUUACUCUAUCUUUGUUUUUUCUGUGAUCGAUAGUAGUAUAUGGUUAAGUUUGGUAUAAUUUCAAACAUGAUAAACAUGUCAUUUAGAGUUUUGAGCUCACAUGACAUUGUUUGUUUUAAGCUCAAGUUGAUAUCAUCCAAAUGUUGUUUUUAAUCUUUUUCCCUUUUUUUCUUGGCAUGACCUCUCCCAUUUGAGUCAAUUGGACUCCUACUCUUGCAUACUCCUCUCCUCGAGUCAACCUCCUUUAAGCCAAUUGAAAGGAGGUUAAUAUUACUGGGAUAAAACCCAAGAGCCAGCCACUGCAGCAGCUUUGAAAGGCUGAGAAACGAGAAGCGAAAAUUGGGUUAAAAGCCCAAAAUCUGAAGCCGCAACAUGGGUACAAAAGAGUUGAAAUGAGAGUGUUUUGGGUUCAAAUUGGCCGAAAUUAAAACACCUGGUUUUUGCAUCAGUUUCAGCAGUCUCAAAAGGCUGGAAAUAUCAUUUUAGCACUAGCAGCAAGAAAUAAGAAGCAGAUUAAAUUGGUGUGAAGAUGGAGAAGUUUGGAGCUAAAACGAAUUAAAAAUGAAAGGUUGAAGAAGGAAAGCAGACAAUUUGAUGCAUUAAAUUGAACAUUAUAUUAAUAUUUAUAUACAUUCAAAUGUACGCAGAAUUGAAAGGAAGCGGAUUUUGAUAGACAAUUAUCUUGUUGCCACAUGGCACUGAAUGAAGGCACCUCCAAUUUCAUGUAGGUUUUGGUUUCCCAAUUUGUUUGGACUCUAUCAUUUUAUUUAGGGUUUUCUACAUUUAUAAAUAGGCCAUAAGAAUAAUUAUUGGGGGAUAUACGGAGACUUUGGAAGGAAAAGUUGUCGAUACUUUUUAGGAUUCUUUUCUUCUUUUUUCUCUUCUUAGACAUUAGUAACUAAAGACCUUUGUUCUAGGGUUGUGGCUACAUGAUGAUUGUAUAGUAUUGAAUUUUAUGUAUUAAAAAUUGUUAUCGCAUAAAGUGCUCUUUUGUUCUUAUUUUA